AUUUUCAUCGGAGAGUCCUGAAGUUCAAAUGGUCCCAGCUGCAGGACGCGCCCAGCUGCAGGAAAGGUCCCUUUUAGGAACCAGAUGCCAACGUUUCCGGAUAGUUGAUGGCACCGGGAUCCCUCCAGGGGACUCAUCCACGCCAGAGAGUGUUGGUGGCAGUUGCUAAUCUCCAGUCCCGCGGAAAAGAUCCCAAAUACAGUUGUCCGCUGCUGGCCCUAAAACCCAAGGCUAAUAAAUGGCAUUAGCGAAGCACCGCUGGCACUACAAUGGCUUAGCCUUAAAUCGGUCCGCCCUCGCCCUGCCACAGUUCCGGCCAUAUCUCCUUCUAGGAUUCCGGCACGGUCCUGUUUACCUGCCUGUCUCGAGCCCCAGUUUGUUUUUUAUUUUUUUUAAAAUAAUAAUAAAUAAUAAAG